AUUGAACGCUGGCGGCAGGCCUAACACAUGCAAGUCGAGCGGAGCGGCGGACGGGUGAUUAAUGCCUAGGACUCUGCCUGGUAGUGUGGGAUAACGUCCGGUAACGGGCGCUAAUACCGCAUACUAUCAGAUGAGCCUAGGUCGGAUUAGCUAGUUGGUGGGGUAAAGGCCUACCAAGGCGACGAUCCGUAACUGGUCUGAGAGGAUGAUCCGUCAAACGGGAACUGAGACACGGUCCAGACUCCUACGGGAGGCAGCAGUGGGGAAUAUUGGACAAUGGGCGAAAGCCUGAUGCAGCCAUGCCGCGUGUAUGAAGAAGGCCUUCGGGUUGUAAAGUACUUUCAGCGGGGAGGCGUUACCCGCAGAAGAAGCACCGGCUAACUCCGUGCCAGCCGCCGCGGUAAUUC
rnacentral:rRNA from 1 species